GGCGAACGCUGGCGGCGUGCUUAACACAUGCAAGUCGAACGGAAAGGCCCUGCUUUUGUGGGGUGCUCGAGUGGCGAACGGGUGAGUAACACGUGAGUAACCUGCCCUUGACUUUGGGAUAACUUCAGGAAACUGGGGCUAAUACCGGAUAGGAGCUCCUGCUGCAUGGUGGGGGUUGGAAAGUUUCGGCGGUUGGGGAUGGACUCGCGGCUUAUCAGCUUGUUGGUGGGGUAGUGGCUUACCGAGGCUUUGACGGGUAGCCGGCCUGAGAGGGUGACCGGCCACAUUGGGACUGAGAUACGGCCCAGACUCCUACGGGAGGCAGCAGUGGGGAAUAUUGCACAAUGGGCGGAAGCCUGAUGCAGCAACGCCGCGUGCGGGAUGACGGCCUUCGGGUUGUAAACCGCUUUCGCCUGUGACGAAGCGUGAGUGACGGUAAUGGGUAAAGAAGCACCGGCUAACUACGUG
rnacentral:rRNA from 1 species